GACGAACGCUGGCGGCGUGCCUAACACAUGCAAGUCGAGCGAUGAAGUUUCCUUCGGGAAACGGAUUAGCGGCGGACGGGUGAGUAACACGUGGGUAACCUGCCUUGUAGAGGGGGAUAGCCUUCCGAAAGGAAGAUUAAUACCGCAUAAGAUUGUAGUUUCGCAUGAAACAGCAAUUAAAGGAGCAAUCCGCUACAAGAUGGACCCGCGGCGCAUUAGCUAGUUGGUGAGGUAACGGCUCACCAAGGCGACGAUGCGUAGCCGACCUGAGAGGGUGAUCGGCCACAUUGGGACUGAGACACGGCCCAGACUCCUACGGGAGGCAGCAGUGGGGAAUAUUGCACAAKGGGGGAAACCCUGAUGCAGCAACGCCGCGUGAGUGAUGACGGUCUUCGGAUUGUAAAGCUCUGUCUUUGGGGACGAUAAKG
rnacentral:rRNA from 1 species